CGCGGCCUAUCAGCUUGUUGGUGAGGUAAUGGCCCACCAAGGCGACGACGGGUAGCCGGCAUGAGAGGGUGACCGGCCACACUGGGACUGAGACACGGCCCAGACUCCUCCGGGAGGCAGCAGUGGGGAAUAUUGCACAAUGGGCGAAAGCCUGAUGCAGCGACGCCGCGUGAGGGAUGACGGCCUUCGGGUUGUAAACCUCUUUCAGUAGGGAAGAAGCCCCUUUUGGGGGUGACGGUACUUGCAGAAGAAGCGCCGGCUAACUACGUGCCAGCAGCCGCGGUAAUACGUAGGGCGCAAGCGUUAUCCGGAAUUAUUGGGCGUAAAGAGCUCGUAGGCGGUUUGUCGCGUCUGCCGUGAAAGUCCGAGGCUCAACCUCGGAUCUGCGGUGGGUACGGGCAGACUAGAGUGAUGUAGGGGAGACUGGAAUUCCUGGUGUAGCGGUGAAAUGCGCAGAUAUCAGGAGGAACACCGAUGGCGAAGGCAGGUCUCUGGGCAUUUACUGACGCUGAGGAGCGAAAGCAUGGGGAGCGAACAGGAUUAGAUACCCUGGUAGUCCAUGCCGUAAACGUUGGGCACUAGGUGUGGGGGACAUUCCACGUUUUCCGCGCCGUAGCUAACGCAUUAAGUGCCCCGCCUGGGGAGUACGG
rnacentral:rRNA from 1 species